rnacentral:rRNA from 1 species
GAUGAACGCUGGCGGCGUGCCUAAUACAUGCAAGUCGAGCGAACAGACGAGGAGCUUGCUCCUCUGACGUUAGCGGCGGACGGGUGAGUAACACGUGGAUAACCUACCUAUAAGACUGGGAUAACUUCGGGAAACCGGAGCUAAUACCGGAUAAUAUAUUGAACCGCAUGGUUCAAUAGUGAAAGACGGUUUUGCUGUCACUUAUAGAUGGAUCCGCGCCGCAUUAGCUAGUUGGUAAGGUAACGGCUUACCAAGGCAACGAUGCGUAGCCGACCUGAGAGGGGGAUCGCCCAAACGGGAACGGGGACCGGGUCCAGAUCCCUAGGGAAGGCAGCAGUAGGGAAUCUUCCGCAAUGGGCGAAAGCCGGACGGAGCAACGCCGCGUGGGGGAUGAAGGUCUUCGGAUGGUAAACCUCUGUUAUUAGGGAAGAACAAAUGUGUAAGUAACUAUGCAGGUCUUGACGGUACCUAUCAGAAAGCCACGGCUAACUACGUG